GAAGGAGCCCUCAGGGCACAUUCAAGGAGUGUCCUGUGAACACUCUCCAGGGGACAGUGCCCAGAUGAGCAGCGUAGCAGCCUGCAUGACCGUGGACUCCUGGGACCGAGGUGCUGGACUCAGUGGUUGCAGGGCUUGGAGUGCAGUGCCGUCAGAUGACAGAUCCCUCGGUGCAGAGUGCACAGUGGUGCUUCCAGGCUUCAGGCAAACACAGAGGUGGG
rnacentral:lncRNA from 1 species